rnacentral:rRNA from 1 species
UUUGAUCCUGGCUCAGAUUGAACGCUGGCGGCAGGCCUAACACAUGCAAGUCGAGCGGCAGCACGGGAAGCUUGCUUCCUGGUGGCGAGCGGCGGACGGGUGAGUAAUGCAUAGGAAUCUGCCCGGUAGUGGGGGAUAACCUGGGGAAACCCAGGCUAAUACCGCAUACGCCCUACGGGGGAAAGCAGGGGCUCUUCGGACCUUGCGCUAUCGGAUGAGCCUAUGUCGGAUUAGCUGGUUGGUGAGGUAAUGGCUCACCAAGGCGACGAUCCGUAGCUGGUCUGAGAGGAUGAUCAGCCACAUCGGGACUGAGACACGGCCCGAACUCCUACGGGAGGCAGCAGUGGGGAAUAUUGGACAAUGGGCGCAAGCCUGAUCCAGCCAUGCCGCGUGUGUGAAGAAGGCCCUCGGGUUGUAAAGCACUUUCAGUGGGGAAGAACGCCUUCCGGUUAAUACCCGGGAGGAAAGACAUCACCCACAGAAGAAGCACCGGCUAACUCCGUGCCAGCAGCCGCGGUAAUACGGAGGGUGCGAGCGUUAAUCGGAAUUACUGGGCGUAAAGCGCGCGUAGGUGGCUCGAUAAGCCGGUUGUGAAAGCCCCGGGCUCAACCUGGGAACGGCAUCCGGAACUGUCAGGCUAGAGUGCAGGAGAGGAAGGUAGAAUUCCCGGUGUAGCGGUGAAAUGCGUAGAGAUCGGGAGGAAUACCAGUGGCGAAGGCGGCCUUCUGGACUGACACUGACACUGAGGUGCGAAAGCGUGGGUAGCAAACAGGAUUAGAUACCCUGGUAGUCCACGCCGUAAACGAUGUCGACUAGCCGUUGGGUCCUUCGCGGACUUUGUGGCGCAGUUAACGCGAUAAGUCGACCGCCUGGGGAGUACG